UCUGCUUCUCAUUUCCUCUGCUUCUUGACCCACCAUAAUUCGAGUGAUUGCUUUCUCUAUAGCUUUGCUUUCAACAUGAUCUCCAUGCCAUUUAACCCAUUCCUUAGCGCCAACACCAAUCCCAAUCUUCAAAACCUCUAUCACCAACUUCUCAUUGUAAAAUUGCUCAGCAGAUACAGGCCAUGUCACCAUUGGCUUUCCUGCAGUUAUACCUUCAAGUGUAGAAUUCCAUCCGCAAUGUGUCACAAAUCCUCCAAUGGCCUCAUGAUCAAGAAUCAACACUUGUGGUGCCCAUCCUCUUAUAAUGAGACCCUUCCCUUCCAU
rnacentral:misc_RNA from 1 species